UUUGUGCCAUUGAAACUUCAGUCAUAUGUAAUAAGUCGAUGAAUGUAGUUUUGUGCUAUUGAAACUGAUACUCUGUUCACCUGACUUGCUAUCGGUGUAGCGGUAUUUCUAUAAAGAAACAAGUUCAAACUAGUGCUCUGUUAUAGCAGUUGUUUCAAACUUCAAACUUUCGCGUUAAGUUUCACUUCACAACAUCAAGAAUUUGAUUAAAAGUUGUAAAUUCAUGUCCUCAUAUUGAAUUAUCUAGUGAUUUUUGUGUUCCUGUGGCUGAAAGUUUCCUGCUAUUUCCUCCAAAUUGUAGUUAAGUAUGUUAACUCCGCCUAUUUAAGUAUGUUAGUGUGAUCGAGUCUAUAAAUUUAAUCUUAUCGUUGAAUGAUCUGUAUGGAAGUAUUUGAUAUUCUUUUUUCGAAAUGUUGUUGUUUAUACGGUUGAAUGCUAUAUGCAGUUUAAUUGUGGAAUCUUUGAAGGUAGAUAGCUUGCAAAGACUUUGUUUACAGAAGAUGAU
rnacentral:sRNA from 1 species